rnacentral:tmRNA from 1 species
GGGAACGACGGGCUUUGACAAAAUAAAAUUUUAAAGUGUCGCAGGCCGAGCGCCUAACUCGUACUCUGGGCAAAACAAGAACUGCUAAUCAAAAAUUGGCAUUCGCUUACGCUUAAUAUUGCAUAAGCCAUCGGCGUAUCAAGGUCUCAUAGAUACAUCACCGGUGUCAUAUUUGAGAAUCGUCUCGGAAAGUUGAUCUUGUAUCCGCGAUUAAAUUUCAAGAUCGUUCGUUCUGUUGAUUCAGAUCUAAGCUUGUAGAUGGUGCUUUAAAACUAUUUUGGAUGUGGGUUCAACUCCCACCGUUUCCACAA